GUGACAUUAGUUACUGUCCCAAACAAUUUAUUUUUUCAAAGGAAGACAAAACUAUCCACUUUUUGAAAUAAGAUGGAUUAAGGCUCAAAGAUGCUCUUUGCCAUGAGUGUUCAGAUGAGGAGGGGAAAAAAAUUUCUUUUGUAAGACCCUUUUCAUGAGGAAUUUCAUGAGCCUGUGAUAAUUAUUUUUAUAGCCCAUACCAUCAACUGAUCUGUCUAUUCUGAUGAAAAUU
rnacentral:misc_RNA from 1 species